AGCUUUGCACAGUGGCGGUAUCGUAGCCAAUGAGGUUUAUCCGAGGCGCAAUUAUUGCUAAUUGAAAAUACAUCAUGUGUGAUUGAAAGCAAUGUGUAAUUUCAAUCUUUAUUGGAAGCAAGAGCUU
ensembl:snRNA U4 U4 spliceosomal RNA